rnacentral:rRNA from 1 species
UACGUAGGGUGCAAGCGUUGUCCGGAAUUAUUGGGCGUAAAGAGCUCGUAGGCGGUCUGUCGCGUCGGCUGUGAAAACUCGGGGCUCAACCCCGAGCCUGCAGUCGAUACGGGCAGACUAGAGUGCGGUAGGGGAGACUGGAAUUCCUGGUGUAGCGGUGAAAUGCGCAGAUAUCAGGAGGAACACCGGUGGCGAAGGCGGUUCUCUGGGCCUUACCUGACGCUGAGGAGCGAAAGCGUGGGGAGCAAACAGG